UUCUUUCCUUUGUCUAUAAAUGCAGAUAUGCCUUAAAUUUGAUAUUCAUUUUUUCAUUAUAACAUUUUUGGCCCUAUCACCCAGCCCUACUUAUUUCCCUUUGUCUAUAAACGCAUGUAUAUUCUCUCUCCGUCUCUCUCAAAUUAAAAUCCUGACAAGCAUUCAGCUGAGUUUAGACUGCAGCAUAAACAGAAUCCACAGCUUGUUACAGCUUCUUUGCAAGAAUAAAAACUGAAAUAAUACAAAGAUUUACAUGGCAUAAUUACUAAUCUUAAACUCAAUUUAGGUUUACUAGAAUACAGGGCAGAAUUGACAAAAAUGAGCAUCUAAUUCAGGUUAUACCCAAUCGAAGUUUGAAUAUAACAUAAUCUGGCCAAGUAACAUCGUACCAUGCCAAUUUUUAAAAUUUGACCAUUUCAGUUCUAAUGCUCUCAUUCUUAGGAUUUAAGUUUAUUUAGGUUCCACAACCAGGACCAAUGAUUCUAUUAACUGCUGUUAAGCAAUUGGGACAUUUACUAUAGAAGAAUAAAGUGAACAGAAUUACAUCACGUUUGUGUAGUCUGAUCCAGAUAACACCUUUUUCCAAGCCUUAUUCAACUAGUCACUAUUCAGUUAUUGUAAAAUAAUUCACUAUAAAUCACACGCACAGACGCACACGCACACACACACACACACACACACACACGAAUGGUCAGCUUCAUUCAAUCCUUGAAUUCCUCUCUUAACAGCAACACGGGGUUGUAAACCGCAGCCAAACAAUCAAGCCUGAUGUGAUGUGAGUUGAAGCAGUUUUAGUCCCAAACGAUGUGCAGUGCUGCUGCCAGCAUUGCGGGCAGCCAGAGGCUAGAGAGCAUCCAGCCAGGAGCCCGGCAACACAACGACCCAGCUCCCGAGCUGAGGAAUGCCAGACCAAAAUCCAAAGGAAGGCAGUAUAUUCUCUGCUGCCCUGGGAUUUUUACGGAAUGUCAAUGAUGGUCUCUGGUGUCAGGUGUGAAUGUCUACCUUGAUCUUUCUCCAGCCAUCCACUGACUCCUGGUUGAUGACCCGUGACCUCUA